UAAUAACAAAGCAUAUUGCCGAAGACAGUAAGGUGCUAUCGCAUAUUGCGACAGCGUAAAGGGAAAUCCACCUACCGAGGGAAUUUUUGAUGAUAAUCGUCAUAAAGAAUGAUACCCCUCUGCUGUAAGGCGGAGGGUUUUUAUUAUACCUCA
rfam:Roseburia sp. CAG:18 genomic scaffold, scf14